AACAAAGCGGUUUGAUGAGGAUGGAUGUUGCCCAAUAUGUGAAACUCGUAACUGCGCUCCUGUGAAGAACGUUACUCGUCUGAAAGUCAAUAAUUGCACUUCCACUGAAGAUGUCGAAAUUACAUCCUGCGCUGGUCACUGCGACUCCAAAUCAAUGUAUUCCAUGUGGACCAAUAGAAACACGACAAACAGCUGUUCCUGCUGCCAAGCGGAAAACACCAGCCCUCGAGAGGUGACACUGGUGUGUGAAGGUGACCUGCAGAUCUCUCAGAUCUACACGUACAUAGAGACGUGCACAUGCACUCCUGUCAUGUGUGAAGACUAUAAAAACGUAAGACCAGAAGAUUAGGAUUGAAACGGUCCUGAUCUGAGCAUUACGCCAUCUGAUGCAACAAAUAAGCACAGGUUUUAAAAUAUACACCUGAAAAUGUCAAUGAUUGCUGUAUUAAUGUGCAGUAAUGGCUACUUUGCCAAAUAUUGCACCAUUAUUUUUGUUCCUUGUGAUUUAAUCUGGGGCAUUCUUUUUAAUGCAUGAUAUAAUA